UAGAAACUAAAAAGCAAUAAAUGACACACGGAUUUACGUGGUUCGGUCGUUAAGACGUACAUCCACGGGAGUUUUUCGUUGGUUUUCACUAUAGUUCAAGAAAGUUUACAUUUUACAAGUGUGUUGCUGGAAUAAGUUGAUCCCUUAGUUUUCCAAUAGAUGUGCUAUUUAUAGUUUGUGAGCAAACCCUAAUUCUAAAAGCCCACUCAUCUAGUCAAUUGGGCCCAAAACUCAGUACAAUGGUCUUAUUCCCGAAGUUGAACUAUCAUACGUAGCUGCGCAGGAAAGGCACUUUGGUGGCGCUGCUCUGACUGCGCAGCGCUGCCGCGCUGCUUUGGACUGCGCUGCUCUGCUUUGGUCUGCGCUGCUCUGCUCUGGUUUGGCUGCGCGGCUGCACGGGAAAGCUACUUGGCUGCGCAGGAAGGCACCUUGGCUGCGUGGGAAGGUUUCUGUGUGCAAUCAUUCUUUACUCCAUCUACUUAGGUGGAUUUCUUACUCUUUUAUCUAAGAUAUCCGAUCGUACCUGCGCUGUUAGUUUCUGUAAUAAUAAUAAUAAUAAUAAUAAGAUAAAAUAGGCUUAGAUUGCUAAGCACAGCGCUGAUGGGAAUUACAGUCCUCAUCAGCUACUCCCCCCUUAGUCUAGUUGAACAGCGUUCUCUUUGUUCAACUAGUGGUGUGUGGUGUGAAGUCAGCGCUGUGCCGCUCUCCCGUGUCAAUUAAGCAUACACGAUUCCCUGUGACUUAUUAGACAAGAACUGUCAAUCUUUGCAAAAAUGAUAAAGACAAAGUAUUUUGAUGCUGGAAAUAAGCUGAGAUAAAAGAGAUAGCAAUUAUUCCUUUUGAUUCGUCGAACAUCAUUAAAGAUAAUAAGGGCUUAGAUAACCUGUGCUGGGAAGACUCAAGUGAUCUGCGUUGACAACCUCGCGCUGACUGCGCUGCACCGACUGCGCUGACAACCCCACGCUGACUGCGCUGCAUUACCUGCACUGACAAAGAUGAUACACUCCCGCAACGCGGCCCUUAAGAUGGUACAUUUCCGC
rnacentral:lncRNA from 1 species